rnacentral:lncRNA from 1 species
UCCCCUCCUAUAGGAAAUUUGGUCCCCAAAUUUAACUCACCUUAAUAGAAUAGAUGAGGAUACUGCUCUCGCAUAUCUUCUUCUCUUUCCCACGUUGCCUCUCGGUCCGAAUGGUGUUGCCAACAAAUCUUUACCAAAGGUAUAAUUUUGUUCCUUAGAACAUGUUCUUUCCUUUCCAAGAUCUGGGUUGGUUGUUCUCCAAAAGUAACAUCAUCUCUUAGUUGUAGAGGUUGAUAAGAUAUGACAUGUGAUGGAUCCCUGAUAUAUCUUCGAAGCAUAGACACAUGAAAUACAUCAUGGAUGCCAGCCAAAGCCGGGGCCAAUACCAAUCUAUAUGCUACAGGCCCAACCUUUUGUAAAAUCUCAAAUGGGC